GAGGACGUACCAUACGAUCAGCUCGGAAACAAUAUCGCUUUGCAUAAUAGAUACCGUGGUCUUAGGCAUAAAUCUGCUCUGCCUGGUGUGCGUUAUCUCGCAGUACCAGAAGUACGCCGAGGCGGCCGGGGGCGGACCGGCGCCAUCGCAGCUCUCCAUGAGACAGACGAAGAUCACGGACCCUACCACACUUCCCGGCCUCUCUGCUGAAACAUGUAACGGCAGGACGGACAACCAGCCGUCUCCUGUGUCCGCCGCACCAUAACCGCAGGACGGAGCAGCUGUAACGACAGGACAGGCCACCAGUCGUCGCCUGUACGUAUCUGCUACAACAGAAAGUGCUACAGACCAGACGCUACAGCGGGAAGGAGACCCAGCGGCCAGCCGGCUCCAUGCUCGGUGCACCGUGACACGUGCUUCGAAUCAAUUGUAAAGGCAGGAGAGCAGCACCUGCCACUAUCAUCUGACGCAGGGCAACGCCAGGCUCCGAGCGUUUGCCUCGAGAAAAACACUGCAGCGUCACAGACGCCUCAGGCCUAGCCACGUUCUCGCCUGCUGCUGACUGGAGUCUGAGCGCCCUGGUGCAACUCUGAACGCCUCGUGUGCGCCACAUUAACCCCAGAGCUGAGCAUGAUGGACGGCUUCAUCAGGCAACGCACUCAUGAGUGACAUUUGGCCGCCGGAACAUUCACUCUGCUGGAUUGUUCGGUCUAUAGCGCUCAAAACAGGGAAAUUUAAUUGGUUGCUCGA